UGUGAGGCGGCGGCCGAGGCCUUUGGGGCGGCGCUGCUUUCCUGCCUACCUCGGGCCGAGGGGACGGAGCUGAAAGUACGGCAGCCCCCUUGGAUGUCUGAGAUUACGAGUUGCGUUUCUUUGCAAAUAUCGCAAAAAGAUGAAAGCUGUGAGCAGGCCGUUGGUGCUUCCCUGCCACCCUGGCUCACUCCCCAAGGUCUGACCGGGCAUGUGCCAGAUGUAACCUCCCCAGCUCUGAAGGUCCAUGUGUGUAAAACGUCCUCAGCAACUGUGUGUGCUGGGUGUGCAGCUGUGUGCUGGGCAGUGCACACCUCUCCUAUAAUGCCCUGUGGAAAUUGAGCUCCAUCUGCGGAAGAAUUCUGAGGUUGAAACGGUUCUGUUUUCUCUGGCAAUGAUUCAUCCGUCUGUAACUAGAGCAAAAAUUCCAGGCAGGUCCAGUGUAUCUCAUAUCCCCAGGAGAAAAUAAAGGAAGUAUGCAGUGUCAUCAUCCUUCCAGAAAGUCACUUCUCCCAGUUCGAAACCAGUGCGGCCAACUUUGCGUGAUGGCUCUCAGCAGUGCUCAGGGUUUUGGAGUGCUUUCCCAGCCCUCCCUGGUGCGAUCUGCUGUGCGAUGGAAGAACAGCACCCUCAAGAGUUGACGGCCGUGCUGCUCCAGGGCUCCACAGCACUGGGCAGGCACCCUUCCUCCUUUUGUUAACAAACACACUGGCACAUGUGGCCGAGGCAACGAGACAUAAACGUUUCUUUUGCCAUCACAUGUGAAGUGUUUGGCAUCGGUCGGUUUGGGUGUGGAAAUCUGUGCCUGUCCGAGGGAUGGCAGCUGCUGAGCGUGGCAUUUGCCUUAGGAGAAGAGGCAUUCAAAAAAGAAUUGCCUUAUUUAUUUAAGUCUGGGAAACUUGUUUUAUACCAUCUUAAAAGAAUUUGAACAGGAAUUAAUAUUUUUGUGCAAAAAGAGAUUAUUUAAAAGUACUUCACUGAGAUAAAAGGGGUCUAUGUAAAAAAUACUGAGCAAACCAGUCCUUAAAUUGUGGGGACUUGUUUGUUAAUUACAGUAAUUAGGAAUGGAAUCUGAUCCUAAACUUUCUGAUUUGCUUUGAAUUUCUCUUAAUGUGUGGUUAGACCUUAAUUUUCAAAACAAUUCGAAAAUGUGAGACUACAGAGGCAUCAGUAUUGUUGUUCGGUGUCAAACUGAGUUCCGUUCUCCUGCAGUGCGGGUCUUUCGCUGUCGGUGUGCAUGGCUGGUUCCUGCCCACUGCCUCCAGAGCACGAUGUGUCUGCAGGAAGCUCGGCAUGGCCAGCAUGAGCUAUUGGGCCAGCUGGGUCCUAUGGCAUCAGCAAGUCUGGGUCAGCAUCUGCCCCUCUCCUGCAAAUGGGUUUGCUGGGGCAGAGCCUGCAGGAUCCGCACAGCCAGAUGUGGCAGGGUUGCCCAGAGAGGUUGUGGAGUCUUUGUCUUCUUCCAUGGGGAUAUUCAAGACCCAUGGAUACCUACCUGUGUGACAUGCUUUACGGAACCUGUGUAGCAGCGGUUGGACUCCAUGAUCUCUUCAGGUCCCUCCCUGGCCUUUGGUUCUGUGAUUCUGUGAUUUCUGCCUAUGCUGAAGCAUUUCUGACACAGGAUAGGGGAUUUUCCUCUCUAUCAUAACUUCAGAGUUCUUCUUCCAAAUGGGUGCUUUGCUUGAUCAGGCAGCGCGUAUCCUUUCUACCCAAUGUUACGUGCUGAAACCAACGUAUAUCAUAAUUUCAGAAGACUCCAUAUAUGAAAAGCAGUUAGGAUUUUUCUUUUUUUUUCUUUUUUUUUUUCUGUUGACACUGAAAGGUGAAAGGUACAUUCACAGAAUCAUAGAAUCUGUGUUCUGUAUUCUUGAUGAACAUCUCCCACCAAACACGCUCUCCUGUAAGGACAGCUCAGUGCAGAAGGCUGUGCUGGCUGCUGGCCUUGUGCCUGCGUGGG